GACGAACGCUGGCGGCGUGCCUAAUACAUGCAAGUCGAACGCAGUGGGGACGGGUGAGUAACACGUGGGUAACCUCCCAUCAGAGGGGAUAACACUUGGAAACAGGUGCUAAACCGAUACUGAUGGAUGAACCCGCGGUGCAUUAGCUAGUUGGUGGGGUAACGGCUCACCAAGGCCACGAUGCAUAGCCGACCGUAGUGGGUGGAUCGCCACCCUGGGAAUGAGAAACGGCCCCGAACCCUACGGGAGGGAACAGUAGGGGAUCUUGGGGCAAUGACCGAAGGUUGAACGAGACACGCCGCGUGGGGUAAAGAGGUUUUCCGGUUGUAAAAAUCCGUUUUUAGGGAAACGGUAUCUAACCAGAAAGCCACGGCUAACUACGUGCCAGCAGCCGCGGUAAUAC
rnacentral:rRNA from 1 species